ACGGGGCCCGCACAAGCGGUGGAUGAUGUGGAUUAAUUCGAUGCAACGCGAAAAACCUUUACCUACCCUUGACAUGUCUGGAACCUUGCUGAGAGGCGAGGGUGCCUUCGGGAGCCAGAACACAGGUGCUGCAUGGCUGUCGUCAGCUCGUGUCGUGAGAUGUUGGGUUAAGUCCCGCAACGAGCGCAACCCUUGUCAUUAGUUGCCAUCAUUUAGUUGGGCACUCUAAUGAGACUGCCGGUGACAAACCGGAGGAAGGUGGGGAUGACGUCAAGUCCUCAUGGCCCUUAUGGGUAGGGCUUCACACGUCAUACAAUGGUCGGUACAGAGGGUUGCCAAGCCGCGAGGUGGAGCCAAUCCCUUAAAGCCGAUCGUAGUCCGGAUCGCAGUCUGCAACUCGACUGCGUGAAGUCGGAAUCGCUAGUAAUCGUGGAUCAGCAUGUCACGGUGAAUACGUUCCCGGGUCUU
rnacentral:rRNA from 1 species